CUGUUAAUGUCUUUUUGUGUUUGUCAUCUUUCGUUCAUGCGCAAUGCGCAUCUUUUGACGUCAAACAUGUCUUCGAAUGAGAAUACUAUAUAAUUGUAAUUUGUGGCUAAAAUUAACAUUAAUCAUGAUUGAAUACCAAAGUUUAACAGGAGAGAUGGACGCUGAUAAACAACCUUGAAUGUGACGUAUCGACCUAUUUAAACACGCACGGGUAUGUACGGUACUGGAAACACUCCAGAGCUUAAAGAAACCAUGAACUUAACACGGAAUCCCUAGGAGGAAGUGAAAGAAAGUUUUAAAGCAUUGACCCUGUAGCUUGUGUCAACUGUUUGACAUCACGUGUGUUUGUCUGUAUAAUACUGAGCUGUGUAAUAUAUGUGCUUGUGUUUUUACACGGGCAAUGCGCAUGGAUUCUUUUGACCAGAAACAUGUCUUCAAAUGGGAAUAGUGACUACAGUAACUAUGAAUUAUUAUUGAAAACCAAAGUUUAACAGGGCAGAUGUUCGCUGAUAAACAGGUCUUGGAAUGUGACGAAACGAACGACUUAUAUACGCACGGCUAUAUAAGGUUCUGGAAACACACCAUAGCAUAAAGAAACCAUGAAGUUUGUGAUUGUCCUCGUGUUUGCCUCUCUCCUGGUCGCCACCCAGGCAGCCCAGACCUCUUGUGGCAAGGGGUGUGCAGCCUCAGGCUCUAACUCCCACUCUUUCUGCGAAAACCUCUGCACAAACUGUACUGGCCAUGUCAACUGUAACCACCAUCUGGACGAAUGCGAGUGCCACUCAAAUGACCAUACUCACAAGCCGUGAUAGCCGCCAUCAAGCUGCAGGAUAUGACACUGUGAUUGUGUCAAGAAGGGUGUUUGUCAAUAAAGUUACUUCAGAUUGCA